AUUGAACGCUGGCGGCAUGCUUUACACAUGCAAGUCGAACGGCAGCGCGGGCUUCGGCCUGGCGGCGAGUGGCGAACGGGUGAGUAAUGCAUCGGAACGUGCCCCGUAGUGGGGGAUAGCCCGGCGAAAGCCGGAUUAUACCGCAUACGACCUGAGGGUGAAAGCGGGGGACCGAAAGGCCUCGCGCUAUUGGAGCGGCCGAUGUCGGAUUAGCUAGUUGGUGGGGUAAAGGCUUACCAAGGCGACGAUCCGUAGCUGGUCUGAGAGGACGACCAGCCACACGGGGACUGAGACACGGCCCAGACUCCUACGGGAGGCAGCAGUGGGGAAUUUUGGACAAUGGGGGCAACCCUGAUCCAGCCAUGCCGCGUGCGGGAAGAAGGCCUUCGGGUUGUAAACCGCUUUUGUUCGGGAAGAAAUCCUCUGGGCUAAUACCCCGGGGGGAUGACGGUACCGGAAGAAUAAGCACCGGCUAACUACGUG
rnacentral:rRNA from 1 species